rnacentral:tRNA from 1 species
AACUAGGUAGCACAGUGGUUAGAGUGCUGGGCUAGUUGCCUAGAGGAUCUGAGUUCAAAUCUGACCUUGGUUA